rfam:Triticum aestivum genome assembly, contig: Triticum_aestivum_CS42_TGACv1_scaffold_030362_1BL
UUUGUACUCCCUCCAUCCAGAAAUGCUUAUCAUCAAAAUGGAUAAAAGGAGAUGUAUCCAUACGUAUUUUAGUUCUAGAUACAUCUCUUUUUAUCCAUUUUGAUGACAAGUAUUUUCGAACGGAGGGAGUAAUAA